GCUGCCUUGGCGCAGCUGGUAGCGCGCAUCCUUGGUAAGGAUGAGGUCGGCAGUUCAAAUCUGCUAGGCAGCU
rnacentral:tRNA from 1 species